rnacentral:rRNA from 1 species
UGGGGAAUAUUGGACAAUGGGCGAAAGCCUGAUCCAGCCAUGCCGCGUGUGUGAAGAAGGUCUUCGGAUUGUAAAGCACUUUAAGUUGGGAGGAAGGGCAGUAAGCGAAUACCUUGCUGUUUUGACGUUACCGACAGAAUAAGCACCGGCUAACUCUGUGCCAGCAGCCGCGGUAAUACAGAGGGUGCAAGCGUUAAUCGGAAUUACUGGGCGUAAAGCGCGCGUAGGUGGUUCGUUAAGUUGAAUGUGAAAGCCCCGGGCUCAACCUGGGAACUGCAUCCAAAACUGGUGGGCUAGAGUAGGGCAGAGGGUGGUGGAAUUUCCUGUGUAGCGGUGAAAUGCGUAGAUAUAGGAAGGAACACCAGUGGCGAAGGCGACCACCUGGGCUCAUACUGACACUGAGGUGCGAAAGCGUGGGGAGCAAACAGG